CCUACGGGUGGCAGCAAUUAGGAAUCUUGCGCAAUGGGCGAAAGCCUGACGCAGCGACGUCGCGUGACUGAUGAAGUCUUUCGGGAUGUAAAAGUCUUUUUUGGGGGAAGAAGGAUGUGACGGUACCCCAAGAAUAAGCCCCGGCUAACUACGUGCCAGCAGCCGCGGUAAUACGUAGGGGGCGAGCGUUGUCCGAAUUCACUGGGCGUAAAGCGCGCGUAGGCGGACCUUUAAGUCAGGGGUGAAAUGCCGAGGCUCAACCUCGGAACUGCCUUUGAAACUGGGGGUCUUGAGGUAUGGAGAGGGAAGUGGAAUUCCUGGUGUAGCGGUGAAAUGCGUAGAUAUCAGGAGGAACACCCGUGGCGAAGGCGGCUUCCUGGCCAUAUCCUGACGCUGAGGUGCGAAAGCUAGGGGAGCGAACG
rnacentral:rRNA from 1 species